UACCAUUACCCAGUAGUCAGACACCGACAUACUAGAGAAUUCACGUGGUGGGAAAUGAACAGGGCUGCUGUGUGUUGCUCCAUUUGCUAGGAGCUCGGCUGAAAUUUCUCAGUUGAAAUUUCUCGAUUCGAGCCUUGCUGGUCUCCCCAGCUUGAACUUUCUGAUCAUCAACAAACACCAGUUUUUCAAAACACCUGAUGGAAAUUGCCCAGGGGUCUUCAUAGGCUAGCUAAAACUAAGAUUCUCUUUUUUUUUUUUUUUUUUUGAGAUGGAGUUUCGCCCUUGUUACCCAGGCUGGAGUGCAAUGGCGCGAUCUCAGCUUACCACAACCUCCACCUCCUGGGUUCAGGCAAUUCUCCUGCCUCAGCCUCCUGAGUAGCUGGGUUUACAGGCACGCACCACCAUGCCCAGCUAAUUUUUUGUAUUUUUAGUAGAGACAGGGUUUCACCAUGUUGACCAGGAUGGUCUCGAUCUCUCGACCUCGUGAUCCACCCGCCUCAGACUCCCAAAGUACUGGGAUUACAGGCUUGAGCCACUGCGCCUGGCCUAAGAUUCUCUUUUUGUGAGUGAAAAGGUAUCAGUUCUGGGUGGUAAAUACAGGUUAUGGUGGAGGCAUGCAUUGGCAACUACAGGUGUCAGAUUGAUAAAAAAGAUGCCCUGAUAUGGUAGCUCAGGCCUGUAACCUCAGCAUAUUGGGAGGCUAAGGCAGGUGGAUUGCUUGAACCUAAGAAUUCAAGACCACCCUGGGCAACAUAGUGAAGCCCCCAUCGCUACCAAAAAACAAGAAGUUGCUGGGCGCAGUGGCCUACUCCCAGUCCCAGCUACUCAGGAGGCUGAGAUGGGAGGAUCACUUGAGCCCAGGAGGCAGAGGUUGCAGUGAGCCAAGAUCAUGCCAUUGUACUCCAGCUUGGGUGAUAGAGGGAGACUGUCUCUUUCUCUCUCUCUCUCUCUCUCUCUCACAUACACACACACGUGUGUGUACAUAUAUAUAUAUAAAAGUGCUUGCUUUGACAGCACAUAUACUAAAAUUGGUGUAGUGGCUCACAUCUAUAAUCCAAGUACUUUGGGAGGCAGUGGCGGGCAGAUCACUUGAGGUCAGGAGUUCAAGACCAGCCUGGCCAACAUGGUGAAACCCCAUCUCCACUAAAAAUACAAAAACUAGCCAGGUGUGAUGGUGAGUGCCUGUAAUCCCAGCUACUAAGGAGGCUGAGGCAGGAAAAUUGCUUGAACCCAGGAGGUAGAGGUUGCAGUGAGAUUGUGCCACUGCACUCCAGCCUGGGCGAUAAAGGCAGACUCUGUCUCGAAAAAAAUAAAAAAGAGGGCCAGGCAUAGUGGCUCAUGUCUGUAAUCCCAGCACUUUGGGAGACCAAGGCAAGCAGAUUGCUUGAGGCCAGGAUAUUGAGACCAGCCUGGCCAACAUAGCAAAAGUCCAUCUCUACUACUUUUUGUAAAAAUACAAAAAAAUCAGCCAAGCAGGCUGAUGUUACAGAUGUUGGCUCACAUCUGUAAUCCUAGCACUUUGAGAGGCCAAGGUGGGCAGAUCAUGAGGUCAGGAGUUCGAGACCAGCCUGGCCAACAUGGUGAAACCCCCUCUCUACCAAAAAUACAAAAAUUAGCCAGGUGUGGUGGCAGGCACCUGUAAUCCCAGCUGCUCAGGAGGCUGAGGCAGGAGAACUGUUUAAACCGGGGAGGCAGAGGUUAUAGUGAGCCAAGGUCACACCACUGCAUACCAGCCUGGGUGACACAGCAAGACUCUGUCUUGGAAAUAGAUAAAUAAAUAUACAAAUAAAUAGGCCGGGUGCAGUGGCUCUCACCUAUAAUCCCAGCACUUUGGGAGGCCGAGGUGGACAGAUCACGAGGUCAGGAGUUCGAGACCAGACUGGCAAAAAUGGUGAAACACCGUCUGUACUAAAAAUACAAAAAUUAGCUGAGCAUAGUGGCGGGCACCUGUAAUCCCAGUUGCUUGGGAGGCUGAGGCAGAGAAUUGCUUGAACCUGGGAGGUGGAGGCUGCAGUGAGCUGAGAUCAUGCCACUGCACUCCACCUGGGCAGCAGAAUGAAACUCUGUCAAAAAAAAAAAAAGAGCAAUGGUAAUGUAAAAUCACCAAUUAUUGAGAAUAAUAAAAUCAUGCUCCUUGCUGGGGGACAGAAUCUAGGUGCUCAGAGGCUCAUCCCAUUCUCCCAAAAGCCAGCAGAGGCCUCAGUGCACAGGGAAGGAGGGCUCAGGGAAUUUCUGGUUAAAUGGUAGAGACCACAGGGGCUCUGUGCUAUGGUGGUUCAGUGGGACUGCAGGGCUCAGACCUUCACUGUGGGCUUCAUGGAGGAAGAGGCAGGGCAAAAGCCUGUGAAGAAUUCGACCGAUGGUUAUGGCUCAGGAGAUAGACCUGGUUUUUCUUUUUUUUUUUGAGAUGGAGUUUCGCUCUUGUUACCCAGGCUGGAGUGCAAUGGCGUGAUCUCGGCUCACCGCAACCUCCGCCUCCUGGGUUCAGGCAAUUCUCCUGCCUCAGCCUCCUGUGUAGCUGGGAUUACAGGCAUGCGCCAUCAUGCCCAGCUAAUUUUUUGUAUUUUUAGUAGAGAUGGGUUUCACCAUGUUGACCAGGAUGGUCUGGAUCUCUUGACCUCGUGAUCCAGCCGCCUCAGCCUCCCAAAGUGCUGGAAUUACAGGCGUGAGCCACCGUGCCCGGCCCUAUACCUGGUUUUUCUUUAUUUUUUUAUUUUUAUUUUAUUUUACUUUAUUUUUGUUGUUGUUGUUGUUGAGACGGAGUCUCGAUGUUGUUACCCAGGCUGGAGUGCAAUGGCACAAUCUCGGCUCACCGAAACCUCUGCCUCCUGGGUUCAAGCAAUUCUCCUGCCUCAGCCUCCCGAGUAGCUGGGAUUACAGGCACGCACCACCAUGCCCAGCUAAUUUUCAUAUUUUUAGUAGAGAUGGGGUUUCACCUCGUUGACCAGGAUGGUCUCGAUCUCUUGACCUCAGAUCCACCCACCUCCGCCUCCUAAAGUGCUGAGAUUAUAGGCGUGAGCCACCGCGCCCGGCCUAUUUUUUUAUUAUUGUUUUUUUUACGGCUGCCUCCUGUUUUAUUGAAUCAGUUCCUUAUACAUGUGCACUUCAGUUGCUUUCAGUAUUUGCUCUUACAAGCAAUACUUCAGUGAACAAAGGCAGCGUGUGUGUGUGUGUGUGUGUGUGUGUGUGUGUGAACCACAUGGCUGUUUAUUAUUUAUUUAUUUAUUUUUAAUCCACCCCACAGAAAGAGAGCCUCAAAAAAUUGGAUUAAGACUCAGAAUUGGCCGGGUGCAGUGGCUUAAGCCUGUAACCCCAGCACUUUGGGAGGCCGAGGUGGGUGGAUCACGAGAGAUCGACACCAUCCUGGUCAACAUGGUGAAACCCCGUCUCUACUAAAAAUACAAAAAAUUAGCUGGGCAUGGUGGCGCGUGCCUGUAAUCCCAGCUCAGGAGGCUGAGGCAGGAGAAUUGCCUGAACCCAGGAGGCGGAGGUUGCGGUGAACCGAGAUCGGCCAUUGCACUCCAGCCUGGGUAACAAGAGCGAAACUCCAUCUCAAAAAAAAUAAAAUAAAAAGACUCAGAAUUGUUCCUCUCCAUGGAAAUCUUAGUAAAAGACUAAAGAUUUAUAUGAUUUGAAGAGAAACCAGAGUAUGAACGUUCAAGCACUGGGUGCUGGCAGGCUGAGGCCGAAAAGGGCGUUAGCCCAGACCUGGUUUUUCAUCUUCAUUUUGAUAUUCUCCAUCUGUGUAACUGUAGCCGUGUUACACAACCUCUCUGUGAGAAUUUCCUCACCUAUAAAAUACCUAUGAAGUGUCAGAGGAAGGGGUUCCUUUCACAUAGGGUUGUUAGAAAGGCCAGCCACAUGGCAGGAAUCCCAUCAGUAGCUGUUAUUAAUCUGUGAUCACUAUGAUGUUUGUACAGCACAGUUCUGUCUGAUUCCUAUACUGGCUCCUGUGGCAGACAAAAUACAGAGGCUCAGAGAGGCGCCAGCCUGGUCCCCUGGAGGACCCCUGACCGUCUCACUCUAGCCACCACCCUUCCUGACCUUGAGGAGUCAACUGUUUUUCUGUGGUACAAUCCCUUUUCUCUCCUCCAAACAGAAGACACUGUUAGGAGCAGAAAACAAGCCCACCAGAGUGACUCCCACUUCCCCACCCUGCAAGUGUGCAACCAUGGGAGUCUUUAAAUGUGGUGCCAUUUAAAUUUUAGGAGCCAUCUCUCAUCUUCAGGGCCUGCACUGAUCAGCAUCCAUAGGCAGUAACUCAGCCUGAGCUGUGGGAUGGGCUGGGAAGCUUUCUGAGACUCUCCAGUUACCUCUUGCCAGGCCCUCUGGGCCCCUGCCACCUCCCUGUGGUGCUCCCAGGGAACCCUCUAACCACUCGACCCUCCCCAGUCUACGGAACCCUCCUUCUCUCUGCCUCUCCUUUCCCCCAGCAUCAUCCUCUCAAGGAAUUGGACCUGCGAAGCAAAAGCCAGGAAAGACAGUGUCCUCAGGAAGCUUCUGGAUUUCAGGCAAAGAAGCACAGGGAGAGCGAUGCACGGUGGCUCACACCUGUAAUCCCAGCACUUUGGGAGGCUGAGAUGACCAGCCCUAUCCUGAAGCUGCCUGGGGGCUGACAGCCAUCAGUCAACAUCAGCAUACAAAAAGACACUUAUCACUUCGGAGAUUCCAAGGAUUUCAGGCGUUGUAGGUGAGGCAGGAAAUGGGGAUGAAGACUAAAUGUAUAUUUCACAUUACUGCAGGCUGUGCCACUGCUGAUGGAGGCAGGGGGCACCCCUUGACUUCUGUUUCCUUCCUGGUUGCGGGGAUUUCUCACUCUCCUCUCCUCUCUCCCACGGGAAGGCUGGAGUUGAGUUUGCCUGGUGGAUGAGUUGGAGAAAGGCGUUUGUAGAGAAGCCACAUCUUGCAAAUGCACAGAGAUGUGAACUAUCCCUGAUGGACCUAUGGUCCACUUUAAAGGCUAUACUGCAAGAGAAGGUGGGAGUGUGGGGAGGCUGGCCUGGCCCUGAGAGGGCUGGGCCCGGGGUAGGGGCUCAGCCCAGGGUGAUCCAGUCCCCAGCUGGGAGGCAGGCAGGGGGUCAAGCUAGAGGGGCCAGGAGAUGGCCUCAGAAAAUAAUCCUAUGACCUGACUUGUCACAGUUCCUGCCACUUCUCAAAGACAUUCACCCCUGGAGGGGGAGGCCCCUUCCUGCUGUCCCUCCACUUGCCUCCUGUGCCUCCCUGUGCCCUCCUCAGUGUCCUCUGGGAUCUGCACCUGAAGGCAGUGAGCAAUUUACCCGUCAGUCUCCCCGCUAGGAUGAGACAGAUCCCUUGUUCCCGAGAGACCCAGCUGAACCGUUUUUGUGUCCUCACUGCCCUCAGCAGGAUGAGUUUUGAAAGUAGAUGCUUCAUUAAAUGUUUGAUAAAUGAACGAAAGCUUGAACAGUGACCUGAGAGAUAGGGAAUGUUCACUCCCAUUCUGCAGAGGAAGUAGCCGAGGCCUGGAGAAGUUCUUAGUGUCAGAGCUGGAACUAGAAUAGGACCCUGUGCCCUCCCCUUGGUCUCCACAGAGCUGUCCAAAUGGCAUACGAUGUUACGAUGUGGAAAAGGGAUUUUUUUUUUUUUUUUUUUUUUUUUGAGACGGAGUCUCACUUUAUUGCCCAGGCUAGAGUGCAGUGGUGCAGUCUCACUGCAACCUCCACCUCCCGGAUUCAAGCGAUUCUCCUACCUGAGCCUCCCUACUAGCUGGGAUUACAGGACCCCCUACUUCGCCUGGAUAAUUUUUGUAUUUUUAGUAGAGACAGGGGGUUCCACCAUCUUGGGCAGGCUAGUCUCGAACUCCUGACCUCGUGAUCCACCCGCCUCGGCCUCCCAAAGAGCUGGGAUUACAGGCGUGAGCCACCGUACCCGGCCGCGGAGAGGGAUCUCAAGAGACUAACAUGGCUAGACAGGCAGAGUGCGCACCUUCACCCUGUCUUCAGUGCGGUGCCAGCUAGACUUGACCCCAUCCUUUCUGAGGUCCUGGUAUAUUUCUCCCAUCUGCACUGGGCCUGUGACCUUACUCAACCCCCACAUCCCAGAGCAGCCGGGCCCUCCCGCUCCCCACGCACCACCGACCACUAGGUGGCGCCAAUUGGUCAUUCAGUCACUUCCAAGGAACCCGAAAAGUCUUUGUCUCCCAGUCUCUGGACUGGCUGACGUGGAGUGCGUGGACACUUCAGGAGGUGGGGGCUGAGUUAGUGUAGAACAGGGAAGUUUUUAAAAUAAUCUUCCACCAGAUUAUCUGUUUUGUGCUCAUUAAUCCUCUUGGUUGGUUUUUGUUUUUGAGAUAAAGCAUUGAGAUGUUUUUCACAAUAACCCUGGGAGGUUAGGACAAUUGUCCCCAUUUUAUAAAAAGAGAAACCUAAUUUCUUUUUCCUUCCUUUUUUUUUUUUUUUUGAGACAGAGUCAUGCUCUAUCACCCAGGUUGCAGUGCAGUGGCGUGAUCUCAGCUCACUGCAACCUCUGCCUCACGGGUUCAAGCAAUUCCCCUGCCUCAGUCUCCCGAGUAGCUGGGACUACAGCGGCUAAUUUGUGUGUGUGUGUGUGUAAUGACGGGGUUUCAUAGUGUUAGUCAGCAUGGUCUCGAACUCCUGACCUCGUGAUCCACCCGCCUCGGCCUCCCAAAGUGCUGUGAUUACAGGCGUGAGCCACUGCGCCCAGCCAAUUUUUGUAUUUUUAAUGGAGGUGGGGUUUCAGCAUGUUGGCCAGGCUGGUCUCGAACUCCUGGCCUCAAGUGAUCCGCCCGUCUUGGCCUCCCGGAGUACUGGAAUUACAGGCACAAGCCACUGCACCUGGCUGAGAAACCUAAUUUCUGAGAGGUUAGGUGACUUGGCCAUGGCCACACAGCAAGCUGUGCCUGGAACUCAAGUCCCAGAUACAGGGUCCUGGGUUUUUUACAAAGUCAGCAGACAACCCUGAAGCCAGAUUCCUACAUUUAAACACUGGCUUCCCGACUGUGUGACUUUGGUUAUUCUGCUUAAAUUUGAGCUCUGGUUUCAUCGUUAGUGAAAUGGGGAUUACAGCCGAUCAACCGUGGAUGGAGUUAGGAAGACUGAAGAGAUGGAGUCAGGCCAAGGACGCGGCAAACCCUCAAGCCCAGCACCAUCCUGCCACCUGCUUCCAGGCUCCUGCCCUGGCCGAGGCCUGUCUCAUAGCAUGCUGACAUUGCUCCGGUGGUCUCUGGCAGCCCUCUCAUUCUCUCAGAUAAACUGGCCCACACAUUGCCCAGAGCGACUGGGUGCAGUGGCUCAUUUUGGGAGACCAUGACAGGUGGAUCACUUGAGGUCAGAAAUUCAAGACCAGCCUGAACAACGUGGGGUAGGUAACUCCAUCUCUACUAAAAUUAAAAAAAUUAGCUGUUCAUGGUAUCUGUAAUUACAGCUACUUGGGAGACUGAGUCAGGAGACUCACUUGAAUUUAGGAGGCAGAGAUUGUAGUGAGCCAAGAUCAUGCCACUGCACGCCAGCCUGGGCGACAGAGUGAAACCCUGUCUCAAAAAAAAAAAAGUUUUCAGACCAGAUCACAGGGAGGGGAAGCCAGGUGGAGUCCAGCAGUAUCUGUACGUCAAAAGCUGAAGCUGGGCCGGGCAUGGUGUGACGUGCCUAUAGUUCCAGCUACUUAGGAGGCUGAGGUGGGAGGAUCGCUUGAGCCCAGGAGUUCUGGGCUGUAGUGUGCUGUGCCAAUAGGGUGUCUGCACUAAGUUCGGCAUCAGUAUGGUGAUCUCCCGGGAGUGGGGGCCACCAGGUUGCCUAAGGAGGGGUGAACCGGCCCAGGUCAGAAAUAGAACAGGCUAAAACUCCCAUGCUGAUCAGCAGUGGGAUUGCGCCUGUCAAUAGCCACUGCACUCCAGCCUGGGCAACAUAGCGAGACCCUGUCUCAAGAAAGAAGAGAAAGAGAGAGAGGGGAAAGAAAGGCAAGAAGUCAGGAAGGAGAGAAGCUGGGAGUCCAGGGAGCACAGGUGGCUGGAGUUCUCAAGGCAGAGAACCAGAAAGGAGAGAGCUUCACACAGACAGAACUCUGGAGCUCUGCAGAUGGUAACUCCAGUAAUUCAGCCCAGUGCAUCCAUGAGGAAACUACCAGAGAGUAGAGUAAGAACCACCCACAUGAUUAGAACAAUGCUUGGAGCUCACACAGGGCUGGAAAUAGUGCUGGUUCCUACCGAGGAAUGGAAACUUCACAAUUAAUAGGGCAUUGAGAAGAGCACUCAAGAGUUUUUGGCUCAACAGUGAGUGAAAACUAAACACUGCCCUGGCGCCAUCUAAGAAAAGCAAAAUCUAAGCUGGGCGCGGUGGCUCAAGCCUGUAAUCCCAGCACUUUGGGAGGCCGAGGCGGGUGGAUCACGAGGUCAAGAGAUCAAGACCAUCCUGGUCAACAUGGUGAAACCCCGUCUCUACUAAAAAUACAAGAAAUUAGCUGGACAUGGUGGCGCAUGCCUAUAAUCCCAGCUACUCAGGAGGCUGAGGCAGGAGAAUUGCCUGAACCCAGGAGGCGGAGGUUGUGGUGAGCCAAGAUCGCACCAUUGCAUUCCAGCCUGGGUAACAAGAUCGAAACUCUGCCUCAAAAAAAAAAAAGAAAAGCAAAAUCUAAUGAAACAAACUGUUUCCAAGUAACUUCUGCCUCCCAGAACAAAGCUCAAAAAUGUGUAUAUAAGAGGCCAGGCACAGUGUCUCACUCCUGUAAUCCCAGUACUUUGGGAGGCCAAGGAGGGUAGAUCACUUGAGGUUGGGAGUUUGAGGCCAGCCUGACCAACAUGGAGAAACACUAUCUCUACUAAAAAUAGAAAAUUAUACCCAGACACCAGGUCAA